UGGGGAAUCUUGGACAAUGGGGGCAACCCUGAUCCAGCCAUGCCGCGUGAGUGAUGAAGGCCUUAGGGUCGUAAAGCUCUUUCGCCUGUGAAGAUAAUGACGGUAGCAGGUAAAGAAACCCCGGCUAACUCCGUGCCAGCAGCCGCGGUAAUACGGAGGGGACAAGCGUUAUUCGGAUUUAUUGGGCGUAAAGGGCGCGUAGGCGGCUUGAUAAGUCAAAGGGUGAAAUCCCUCGGCUCAACCGGGGAACUGCCUUUGAAACUGUCUGGCUAGAGUUCGGGAGAGGGUAGGGGGAAUUCCUAGUGUAGCGGUGAAAUGCGUAGAUAUUAGGAGGAACACCAGUGGCGAAGGCGCCUACCUGGACCGAUACUGACGCUGAGGUGCGAAAGCGUGGGGAAGCAAACAGGAUUAGAUACCCUGGUAGUCCACGCUGUAAAACGAUGGUCACUCGGUGCUGCGGGUAUCGACCCCUGCAGUGCCUUAGCUAACGCGUU
rnacentral:rRNA from 1 species